rnacentral:rRNA from 1 species
AGUGAACGCUGGCGGUAGGCCUAACGCAUGCAAGUCGAACGGCAGCACAGUAAGAGCUUGCUCUUACGGGUGGCGAGUGGCGGACGGGUGAGGAAUACAUCGGAAUCUACUUUUUCGUGGGGGAUAACGUAGGGAAACUUACGCUAAUACCGCAUACGACCUACGGGUGAAAGCAGGGGAUCUUCGGACCUUGCGCGAUUGAAUGAGCCGAUGUCGGAUUAGCUAGUUGGCGGGGUAAAGGCCCACCAAGGCGACGAUCCGUAGCUGGUCUGAGAGGAUGAUCAGCCACACUGGAACUGAGACACGGUCCAGACGCCUACGGGAGGCAGCAGUGGGGAAUAUUGGACAAUGGGCGCAAGCCUGAUCCAGCCAUACCGCGUGGGUGAAGAAGGCCUUCGGGUUGUAAAGCCCUUUUGUUGGGAAAGAAAAGCAGCAGGUUAAUACCCCGCUGUUCUGACGGUACCCAAAGAAUAAGCACCGGCUAACUUCGUG